rnacentral:lncRNA from 1 species
GGGAGCUUUACUUCUCUCCAGCAGCAGGUUCUUAAAUCCAAGGAUGGGCACUGCAUGCUGUGGGGUGUGCAGGCUUUUAUCCGACCUCCUGAGCAGGAUAUACUGGUAUCUGGUGUUGUUUCCCACUGGUCUCAUUGGAGCCUGAUCCCAGCUUUGUUUCUGCCCUGUGGUCGGCCAGGACCCGGUUCUCCAGACUGCUGUGAGUAGUAUGUGAUCACCGAGUUGGGGAUGUCUCAGUUUUGGGCUGCUCUCCUGUCCUUGCUGAGGCUUCUUUAUGUGCAUUGUCUUCUCUAGGGAGGAGGUGAGGAAGAGUGCUGACAUGCUG